rnacentral:lncRNA from 1 species
AAAUUAAUCCAAAAAAUAAUUUUAAUUCAAAAAAUGAAAGAGGACAAUAUUUAAAGAUUUUUGGUUAAAGUCCCAUAUUUUUUGGAUUAAAAAUGAAAUUAAUAUGAAUUAAACAAAAUAAAUGAAUUAAAUGAAAAAUCAAAAAAUAAAAGAAAUUAAAAAAAACAAGAGCCAUCAAAUCUCCCUCAUUAAUUAAGGUGGCAGAUCUGAUGGCCAAGCGCGCGCUUCACACCAUACA